rnacentral:rRNA from 1 species
GAUGAACGCUGGCGGCGUGCUUAACACAUGCAAGUCGAACGGAAAGGCUCCUGCCUGCAGGGGUACUCGAGUGGCGAACGGGUGAGUAACACGUGGGUGAUCUGCCCUGUACUUCGGGAUAAGCUUUGGAAACUGGGUCUAAUACCGGAUAUGACAAUCUCUUGGAUGGGGUUGUGGAAAGCUUUUGCGGUAUGGGAUGAGCUCGCGGCCUAUCAGCUUGUUGGUGGGGUAAUGGCCUACCAAGGCGUCGACGGGUAGCCGGCCUGAGAGGGUGUACGGCCACAUUGGGACUGCGAUACGGACCAGACUCCUACGGGAGGCAGCAGUGGGGAAUAUUGCACAAUGGGCGCAAGCCUGAUGCAGCGACGCCGCGUGGGGGAUGACGGCCUUCGGGUUGUAAACUCCUUUCGCAACCGACGAAGCUUUUGUGACGGUAGGUUGAGAAGAAGCACCGGCUAACUACGUG